CGGGGUUUCACCGUGUUAACCAGGAUGGUCUCGGUCUCCUGACCUCGUGAUCCGCCCGCCUCGGCCUCCCAAACGUACCAUUCCUUUCUUGUGGAGGCACCAAGAAGUAGAAAAUGUGAGAGUUCCCGACUUCAGGAAGAAUCUAGACCAAUGGUAGAGAUCAGCCUCAUGGAGAGAGGUGCUGACGCCAUUUGGAAGAAUAAUAUCCUGAGGUGCAGAGAUGUAAGAGAACUUCCCAAGAUCAUACAGUGAUUAGAUGUGGGGCGGGACAGAGGCUCCACUCAGGUCUGCACUGCUACAAAGCUGUACCCUCUGGGCUGAUGGCAUGGCUCAGUGAAGGAGCUCUCUCUGUUCCCAAGGCAGAGGCUCUAACUGUCUUCACCUGGGUUCAAGGCGCUGGGAGGAAAAUGAACAUCUGUUGUGUACCCCCCAUACACCAGACACACUGCUAGGCUAUGCUAAUUUAUGAAAUCUUCCCAACAACCCAGAAAAGAAUGCACCAUUAUUUUCACCACUCACAGAUGGAAAACAGGCUUGGAGAGGGAAGAUGACUUGCUUCAGGUCCUCACCAUAGAUGCUUGGAUGUCUUUCUGUUUUCAGAAGCCUCAUGUCCUAUUACUUCUCUGAGUAGCACAGAGCCGAGGGAAUUUUGCUACAGAUCAAGUGCAGGGAGGUAUUUGGGGAAAAUAGCUUAUUGUGACAUUGCCUGAGCACUUGACUAUGAAACCAGGUCUCCUCCUAAGAGCAUUGAAUGUGCAUUAACUCAUUCCCUCCUCAAAGCAAACCUAUGUGGCAAACACCAAACACCAAUAUCAUGCCCACUUAACAGAUGGAGAAUCUGAAGCGCAGCACGAAGAGGUGUAUUAACUUGAUGAAGGUCACACGGCCAGUAAGUGGUGGAGCCAGGAAGCCUGGCACCUGAGUCUCUUUUCUUAGCCCUUCCGCAAUACUUCCUCAUACAACAACCAUGUAAGGUAGUGUGACAUAGGAAAAACAAACUCAGUUUCUCCUGUGAUACCCUCUCACCACACAAUCAACACAGAACACUUCUGUGACCUCUGGUCACCAAGAAGUGUGUGGCAAUUUCUCUCUGGCAGCAACCAGUUCUCUGGGAGAUCUUUCAGCAGACACCAGCUGGGUGUCCUCUAAUUCAGUUCAAUUUUGACACUAUCUAACUGGAGAUGGUGUCAGAUCCCACAGGUUGAGUACUCAGUCCCAUAAGACUGCCUCCAAUUUCCACUGCCAAUUCCAAGCCCCAGGUUAUUAAACCUGUGCUUCUGAUGACCAGCUAUAAAUCAGGGUUCCCACAAUCCCUUCCUUGGGUUUCAUGAACUUGCUACAGCAGCUCACAGAACUCAGGGAAAUACUUAUGUUCCCUGGUUUAUUAUAAAGGAUAUACCAAUUAUCACCAGAUGGAAAAGUUGCACAGGGCAAAUAAUGUGGGAAGAGGCACGGAGUUUCCAUGCCCUGUCUGAGCACAUCGUCCUCCAGGAACCCCCAUGUGUUCUACUCUCUGGAAACUCUUGAACCUAGUCCUUUUGGAUUUUUAUGCACACUUCAAUACUUAGACAGCAUUGAUUAAAUCAUUGGCCACUGGUGAUCAACUUAACCUUUAAGCCCUUCUCCCCAGUUCAGAGGUUGGGGGUGGGGCUAAAAGUCCCAACCCUCUAAUCUUGUCUUGGCCUUUCCUGUGACCAGCCCUCACCCUGAAGCUACCUAAGGGUGGAUAGCCAUCAGUCAACUCAUUAGUAUACAAAAGACACUUAUCACUUUAAUGAUAACAAGAAUUUUAGAAGUUAUAUGCCCAGAAACAGGGAUAAACACCAAUAUAUAUUAAUUUGCAGGUACUAUUAUUUCACCCUUUUUUUGAAUACUGGGAGAUUAAGACUUAAAGAGGUUUAAAGCAACUUGUCUCAUUACAGAGGAAGGGAUCGAGACAGGAUUUGAACCUGUACAGCUUGAUACCAAAUAACUUGUGCCUAGCAGUGAGUUACUUAUUCAGGGGUCAGGGCCAGGCCUUCAUUAGGGCAGGCUGGACAUACGGACUUUUCCAUGCUGCUAGGUUUAACAGGCUGGUAUCGCUUCCCCAUCUCUUGUCACUAAAAACUCAAUUAGCAGCUUGAGGCUGUGUCCUCACAUCACACCUUCUCAUUGAUCACUCAGACUGUGAGUGAGAAAGAUUUUAAAGCUGGUUGGCUUUGCAAAGCAUAGAGCAGCAACCAUUGAGCAUAUGCUUCUGUGGGUAUAUAUUUAUUCAGCUUAUGUUGAGUAUAAUUUUGGAUGGUAUGCAUAUUUUAUUUUUUGUUGCAGAGAGCAAUUUAAAA
rnacentral:lncRNA from 1 species